UGUCUAGGGGUUCAAACCUAAAGAACCCAAAUAUCUAAACGGGGAGAUUCAAUAUUGCCCUUUAAAAAGCAAUGUGCACUUCUCCCUUAGUAAGACGCUGUGAUCCAUUAGAAAUUGAUCAUUCCAAUGAUUAUUUGGCUAUCAAUAGGCCGAUGCAGAGUUCAUUAAUGCAAAUAGUAUUAUCUUUUAUGGUGAUGCAUAUUGUUUGGUGAGCGUAUCGUAACCUGUCUUAUAGCUGUCUGAUGGAUUUUAAAGGUCAUAUUAUUGAUGUUUCGGCAUCACUCAUACGUGAGAAUAAAUAUGUACCCGAUCAACAGCGGUUAAAUUUGGGAUACCUUUUGGACCCGUCUUGAAACACGGACCAAGGAGUCUAUCUAGUAUGCAAGUAAAUGAGUAUAUGAAACUUAUUUGCAGAAAAAACUUGACUGUUUAUGGGACUACGAGUUAUACAUUUAUGUGUAGCUCCUCCAUCCCGGGGUAUUUUCAUCAACAUAUGCAGCAAUGUAUAUGGAAAAUAUACCAUGAGCAUACUGGAUAUGACCCGAAAGAUGGUGAACUAUGCCUGAUCAGGUUGAAGUCAGGGGAAACCCUGAUGGAGGACCGAAGCAAUUCUGACGUGCAAAUCGAUUGUCAGAAUUGGGCAUAGGGGCGAAAGACCAAUCGAACCAUC
rnacentral:rRNA from 1 species